UAGCUCAGUUGGUAGCGCAUGGCGCUUGCAACGCCAGUGAUGUGGGUUCAAUUCCCAU
rnacentral:tRNA from 1 species